UACGUAGGGUGCAAGCGUUGUCCGGAAUUACUGGGCGUAAAGAGCUCGUAGGUGGUUUGUCGCGUUGUUCGUGAAAACUCACAGCUCAACUGUGGGCGUGCGGGCGAUACGGGCAGACUUGAGUACUGCAGGGGAGACUGGAAUUCCUGGUGUAGCGGUGGAAAUGCGCAGAUAUCAGGAGGAACACCGGUGGCGAAGGCGGGUCUCUGGGCAACUACUGACGCUGAGGAAGCGAAAGCGUGGGGAGCGAACAGG
rnacentral:rRNA from 1 species